GGAAGUAGUGCUAGUCAGCACCCGUAAACAAAACUACAUGAUGAACUUUGCCAGACAGACCGGCCUACGUCACUACUACAGCCGAAAGAGGCGGGCACUGCAGCAUGCCUAACCAAUGGAUUUUCCCUACGACCUGCCAAUCACACAUAUGACCGACCAACCAACCAACCCCAUUCCUUUCUCCUGAUGCCAUAUCACCCUGUCAAGUCCUGCCCUCCAGCCAAUGGAUUCCAGUCAGCCUUAGACCACCCCCCCCCCCCCCCCCCUCACUCUGCCAGAAAACAUGGACCAUCCCAUCAGUUUACGCUGCAACCAAUCAGAAGCCUUCCCCACCCCCCAUUGUGACUGGAAGGAAGGAGAAGGAGCAACAAAGGCGGACAUUUUGUUUACUUUUAAUGGACUUCCGGGUUUCUAGUUGUUUUCUAAUCGUUGCCGUAGGUGGUUAUUAUGAUAUGAUGAUUCCCUGUUCCAGUUGCGAUACGAUGAUGAUAGUACCCACCCUCGGAUUUCCCCUUAUCACCCCAUCCUACCCACUUAGUCCUACUACUACCACACUGUGAAAUCAUUAAGAGAAAUAUCACUGAUGACCAGUGACAUAGAGUUGGAUAGAAGGCACACAGUCACAGAAGCGAUAAUGGCAAAGCUAGGGGGGGUGGGGGUGUGGGGUGAGCCCUGUUUCCAACUCUAUGCCAGGUUGCUGGGGUGUAUUCAUUAGUCCGAUUCCGUUGCAAAAAUGUUUUACAACAAAAAACAUUUACUAUUUCCUUUAGGAACCAAACGGAAAGAAGCGGAGCAAACAGAAUGAAAAUGGAGAGAGAAGCUGACUGAAUCUGUCCAAUAGAAACUCUUUUGGAGUAAACGGUUUCCAUUUUAAAACCUUUUUGCAACAGAAUCUGACUAAUGAAUAUACCCCUGGGCUAGUUGGCAGAGCCCGGAAGGAGAGGGGAACACUCCUCCGCCUGCACCAGUAUCUAGGAGGAAGAUCAUUACAGUGAAAAUAGUACUGUGUUCUUGCUGUCCUGUGGGUUAUUUCCGUGAUGAGUCGACUGUGUUUCAUUUCAAUUUGUUUUUUGUUUUUUUACUAAUUCACAUUGCGUAAUUUUUCGGUUGGAUGAGU